AGAGUUUGAUCAUGGCUCAGGAUGAACGUUGGCGGUGUGCCUAAUACAUGCAAGUCGAACGGAGAUAGUAGCAAUAUUAUCUUAGUGGCGAACGGGUGAGUAACGCGUUGGUGAUCUGCCUCGAAGUGUGGAAUAACGCUCCGAAAGGAGCGCUAAUACCGCAUGUGCUCUACAAGUUUAGAAAUUGUAGAGUAAAGGAUUUAUUCGCUUCGAGAGGAGCCUGCGUCCCAUCAGCUAGUUGGUAGGGUAAAAGCCUACCAAGGCUAUGACGGGUAGGGGACCUGAGAGGGUGGCCCCCCACAAUGGAACUGAAACACGGUCCAUACACCUACGGGUGGCAGCAGUAGGGAAUAUUAGAAAUGGACGAAAGUCUGAUCUAGCGACACCGCGUGUGCGAAGAAGGCCUUCGGGUUGUAAAGCACUUUUUGGAAGGAAUAGGAAGGAAGGUACUUCCAGAAUAAGUCUCGGCUAACUACGUGCCAGCAGCCGCGGUAACACGUAGGAGGCAAACGUUAUCCGGAUUUACUGGGCGUAAAGCGCGUGUAGGUGGUUCUGUAAGUAGGGCGUGAAAGCUCCCGGCUCAACUGGGAGAGGCCGUUCUAAACUGCAGAGCUAGAGGAUGGUAGAGGGAGGUGGAAUUCCAGGUGUAGCGGUGGAAUGCGCAGAUAUCUGGAGGAACACCAGUGGCGAAGGCGGCCUCCUGGACCAUUCCUGACACUCAGACGCGAAAGCUAGGGUAGCAAACGGGAUUAGAGACCCCGGUAGUCCUAGCCCUAAACGAUGUAGACUAGACGUCGGCGGUGUAAAAACUGUCGGUGUCCAAGCUAACGCGAAAAGUCUACCGCCUGGGGACUACGGCCGCAAGGUUAAACUCAAAGGAAUUGACGG
rnacentral:rRNA from 1 species